UUAGAGUGGUUAUUUCAACAUAUAUAAUUAAACUAUGUAUGUAUCAUAAAUACACUGAAUAUGUUGGAGUUGGGUCUUGUGGUAGGCUAACUUGUUCGCUUCACUUUGGUUUAGUUUAGCCUUGUAAUCGGUGGUUUCAUAUACUGAAAUUUUUAAUUUUCUAAUAUAAUCCAGAUGACAAAAAAAAAUCAUAAAUACACUGCAAUGGCCAUUUUUAAAAAAACUUUAAACGAAAUAUAUAUACAUCACCAAGUAUCAAGUAAGUAAUUUGGUUGUUUU
rnacentral:sRNA from 1 species